CCUCCUGAGUCCAGCUCGGAUCGGUUUUGUCCACAGAAAACCCACAGCUCGCCUGUCCCUUGGUCGGCUCGACAUGUUGUCAUACUUCGAGCAUCAACUGCGAUCUGCAAGAUGAAAGAAAAACAUCCUUAUUAGCCUCGAAGAUCGUCAAGACGAGAUGAAGAGCCUGGUUCAGUUGCUUUGCAGCAUCCGCAACAUUCCAUUGAUUCCGGGUCGUCUGAUACCCAAUCAGACAUUAAGAAAUAUAAGGCUCACGUGACUUAUGAGGAUGUAGACGAACAAGACCCGGACUCAGACAAAAACUGGUUGAGGCGUUCCCUGGGGAAGCAGGAAAGAAAAAUGCGAAAACACGAAUCAUACACACACUACAAAGCGAAAAAAGUGUAUGGCAUAAAAGUGCACGUGAGCAUGAUGAAGAAGUUGGAGAGAAUUAGCAACUUUACCAAGGACGUCGUCUGCCCGUUCACAUAAUGCGAUCUCGUGCUAAAGUUUUUCAAGCCAAACAAAGAUGAUAUUGAGACUACAAGAAGGAUGUCUGUUAAGCCGCGAAAAAAAGACGGAAGAGAGCGGGACGGCUCGUCGCAAAAAAAAAAUCUCAGAAAGCUGUCUCAGUUUAGAGGGGGGCUCGAUUUUGAAGUUUUCGACAAAAACGAAAACGGCUAGUGUUUUGUAGACGCCCACGGAGUGACUGGGUGGGUGCCAUCUUCACACCUCGAAAACCUUGAUGACGACCAAGAAAACCUGGCAUUCAUGAGCUGUACAAGCCCUGAGCAAGGUGUGACAACCCUGUAAUGUAAACCGAGACGUCAUUUAAAACAGUCGCAUUCCUAAUGGUAGCACAGUGUGCGCACAAACCCCCUACACCCCUCCCCUUAGCCACUCAAACGUGGUUGAUUUUUUAUUGAAAGAUCGUCAAAAACUGCUCUUCUUUCAUAUGAUACCUAUGAUCGCACAUCCCUCUCAACAAAUCCUGGGUAGGCCCCUGAAAACCCAUAAGAUUCAUAAAACGACACUACUAAGUACAUUCUUUAUUUAUUGACACCUUCCUAAUUGACAAUUAUAUAAAAUUUGUCAGUAAACUCGGAUAAAUGCUGCUCGUUAAAUGGAAAAUAACUUCUACCCGCACCACUACCCUGCUAGAAGAUUUUCCCCUGUUUGUUUUUUCUAUGGAAUUUAGCUGUUUAAAUAAUGUUGAUCAACCACUCUUUGGUAUUUUUACAUGGUAAUACGACGGUCUAUUUGCAAGAAUACGGUCUAUGAAUGAAGUUUUGCUUUUUUACGAAACUUGAUGGAAAAUUUGACACUUGAUAGUGGUGGGAAAUGAUGCUUUUGUGUAACUCGGUAUUGUCUAUGCAUAAAAUGGCAUAUUUCAUUGGGUUUGUUUCUUCGUGUGUCUUGAAUCGUAUCUGUUAUUGUAUAGUGUGCUAAACAAAAAUCUUAAAAAAUAAACCUCCUGUUGAUGGCUGUCUCGAGUUCUUUUUACUCAACCAAUUACUGCGUUUCUUCCACAGCCGAAAUCUACGUAAGCACACAUGCUUACAAGGCUGCGUUCUCUGAUGAGCUCAGUUUCGAUGUCGGAGUACAGCUGUACGUGACGGCGAAAUCACUUGAUUGAUGGUGGAAGGCAAUGUGAGCAUUAGCGUUGUCAAUCAACUUAGCAUAGUUGGUUACGAGGAGAAUAGUCAGCUCUCGAGCAACUUGGAUGAAGGUAUGUUAGGGAUUGGCCAUUCAAUACCCGACGCGGCGGCCACUGAAGCUUUCUCUGAUAUUUUUAUCAUAGCCAGUUCAGUUGUUUGAAUCUUUGUCGCGGUGUUUUUUUUUUUUUUUGCCAAGUCAGAUAUAAAAUGAAUGAUUUCUUAUCGAAUUUUAUUGCCAUUGGGUGUAAAACAUCUUGAGCGAAUAUAAGGUUAAUCUGCAUUUACAGACAAGAAAGCGAAACCACCACCCGAAAGGAAGAAAGUAUGAGUAGAAUUAUUCUAAUUUAUUCAUACUAUUUCUAUUUUAUGCAUUUAUCAUUAUUUAUAUUAUAUAUUUAUAUUAUAUUAUAUUCACCAUAUUAUACAUAUAUUAAUUUAUUUAUUUUAAUCUUUUUAUAUAUAUUUCAUAUCAUUUAUAAUAAAAAAGCUAUGAUGAUGAUGGUGCAAAAUGGCUUAUAACAAGAAUAACAUGAGGAAAAUUACUGUACAUUAGGUUUUCGUUUCGAUCAUAAAAAAAUAUCAAAUAACUUGCCCGAGAAUAGAACAUUUAGUUGUCGCGAUGAUUUUAAACCCAUAUCAAAAUGACUGAUAUAACUCAAUAUAACGUAUGAAGCAUGAAACAUAACUCGCGGCGAGUUUGAGCGCAGGGUAUGAUUACCAUUUAAGGUAAUUCCCUUGUAUUGCACUGCGCACCCCUUCUGCGCAUAAUGGCGCGCGCUGUUUGUUCGAAUUUUCCGGUAUUAAGUGCGAGUGCGCC